rnacentral:rRNA from 1 species
UGGGGAAUUUUGGACAAUGGGCGAAAGCCUGAUCCAGCAAUGCCGCGUGUGUGAAGAAGGCCUUCGGGUUGUAAAGCACUUUUGUCCGGAAAGAAAUCCUCUGGGUUAAUACCUCGGGGGGAUGACGGUACCGGAAGAAUAAGCACCGGCUAACUACGUGCCAGCAGCCGCGGUAAUACGUAGGGUGCAAGCGUUAAUCGGAAUUACUGGGCGUAAAGCGUGCGCAGGCGGUUUUGUAAGACGGAUGUGAAAUCCCCGGGCUUAACCUGGGAACUGCAUUGGUGACUGGCAGGCUAGAGUAUGGCAGAGGGGGGUAGAAUUCCACGUGUAGCAGUGAAAUGCGUAGAGAUGUGGAGGAAUACCGAUGGCGAAGGCAGCCCCCUGGGCCAAUACUGACGCUCAUGCACGAAAGCGUGGGGAGCAAACAGGAUUAGAUACCCUGGUAGUCCACGCCCUAAAACGAUGUCAACUAGUUGUUGGGGAUUCAUUUCCUUAGUAACGUAGCUAACGCGUGAAGUUGACCGCCUGGGGAGUACGGUCGCAAGAUUAAAACUUAAAUGAAUUGACGGGGUCAUAGCUGUUUCCU